UACGUAGGGUGCAAGCGUUGUCCGGAAUUACUGGGCGUAAAGCGUGCGCAGGCGGUUAUGUAAGUCAGGAGUGAAAUGCCCGGGCUUAACCUGGGAACUGCAUUUGAGACUGCAUGGCUAGAGUUUGGCAGAGGGGGGUAGAAUUCCACGUGUAGCAGUGAAAUGCGUAGAUAUGUGGAGGAACACCGAUGGCGAAGGCAGCCCCCUGGGUCAAAACUGACGCUCAUGCACGAAAGCUUGGGGAGCAAACAGG
rnacentral:rRNA from 1 species